rnacentral:tRNA from 1 species
GCCCCCGUUGCUUAACGGAUAGAGCACUGGUCUUCGGAACCAGUUGUGCGGGUUCGAUUCCUGCCGGGGGCA